rnacentral:rRNA from 1 species
AUACGUAGGGGGCGAGCGUUGUCCGGAUUUACUGGGCGUAAAGGGUGAGUAGGCGGUUAUAUAUGUCAGAUGUAAAAGGCUAUGGCUUAACCAUAGUUAGCAUUUGAAACCGUAUGACUUGAGUGCAGGAGAGGUAAGUGGAAUUCCUAGUGUAGCGGUGAAAUGCGUAGAUAUUAGGAGGAACACCAGUGGCGAAGGCGACUUACUGGACUGUAACUGACGCUGAGUCACGAAAGCGUGGGUAGCAAACAGGAUUAGAUACCCUGGUAGUCCACGCUGUAAACGAUGAGUGCUAGGUGUUGGGUAGCGAUACUCAGUGCCGAAGUAAACACAAUAAGCACCCCGCCUGGGGAGUACGUACGCAAGUAUGAA